CCAGUGUUGGGGAUCCUAGGAGUUCAAUCAACCAAAACAACAAUCAACAAACAAGAUUCAAGGCAAAAAACAAGAAAAUAAAACCGGAAGAAUACUCCCCUUCUUUGGCCGAAAUCUGUCCAGCUUCUUCUUCUUCGUUUCAGCAGCUUCUUCUUCGAAUUUAUGGGUGUUUUUCAGGCUCAGGAACAGCCUCCAUGACUUGCAAAUCACCUUCCAAGAGAGAGGGAAAAAAUCCAAUGAAGAACCACCACACUUUGCUAAAACGAGAGCUCCACCUUCUGCUGGGAAUCUUCAAAAAUGAGAGCUGCCCAUCUUUUAUAUAAAAUGGUAGAGAGUACAUCUGAAGGAGAAGGUAGGAAGACCAUGCCUCUGCCAAAAACGUGGAAGACCUUAUUGUGUCAACCUCACUACCAUCAAGUCACAACAUUGGGUGGGGUUAGGUGAACCAUAUCCUCACAUUCUUCACAUUGGUUCUCCUAACACUCUCUCUUGGUUGCGAAUUUGCACAUGGAAGAACUGUUCAUCAUCAUCGCCCACCACCUACAAGAAAAAUUAACCAGUGUCAAUGUGUAAUAAAGAUAAGCACAAUCUAAAUUUACUUGCAGGUAGAAUUUUUGUUCCCAUGUCAGAGGGAUUCCUAUCAGUGUGAAUUUUAACAAGAUUAACUUCACCUUGGGACAGUUUCUCACGUAUAAAAUGAUAUUUUACCUCAAUAUGUUUAGUUCUUUCAUGGUAAACAGGAUUUUUACAAAGCAAUAAAGCACUUUGACUAUCAGUAAACAUAACAGGU
rnacentral:lncRNA from 1 species